rnacentral:rRNA from 1 species
GUAGAGGAAGCUUGCUUCCUUGAGACCGGCGCACGGGUGCGUAACGCGUAUGCAAUCUACCUUUUACAGAGGGAUAGCCCAGAGAAAUUUGGAUUAAUACCUCAUAGUAUAAUGACUCGGCAUCGAGAUAUUAUUAAAGUCACAACGGUAAAAGAUGAGCAUGCGUCCCAUUAGCUAGUUGGUGUGGUAACGGCACACCAAGGCAACGAUGGGUAGGGGUCCUGAGAGGGAGAUCCCCCACACUGGUACUGAGACACGGACCAGACUCCUACGGGAGGCAGCAGUGAGGAAUAUUGGUCAAUGGGCGCAAGCCUGAACCAGCCAUGCCGCGUGCAGGAUGACGGUCCUAUGGAUUGUAAACUGCUUUUGUACAGGAAGAAACACUCCCUCGUGAGGGAGCUUGACGGUACUGUAAGAAUAAGGAUCGGCUAACUCCGUGCCAGCAGCCGCGGUAAUACGGAGGAUCCAAGCGUUAUCCGGAAUCAUUGGGUUUAAAGGGUCCGUAGGCGGGUUUAUAAGUCAGUGGUGAAAGCCCAUCGCUCAACGAUGGAACGGCCAUUGAUACUGUAGAUCUUGAAUUAUUAGGAAGUAACUAGAAUAUGUAGUGUAGCGGUGAAAUGCUUAGAGAUUACAUGGAAUACCGAUUGCGAAGGCAGGUUACUACUAAUGGAUUGACGCUGAUGGACGAAAGCGUGGGUAG